rnacentral:rRNA from 1 species
CAGCAGCCGCGGUAAUACGAAGGGGGCUAGCGUUGUUCGGAUUUACUGGGCGUAAAGCGCACGUAGGCGGACUUUUAAGUCAGGGGUGAAAUCCCGGGGCUCAACCCCGGAACUGCCUUUGAUACUGGAAGUCUUGAGUAUGGUAGAGGUGAGUGGAAUUCCGAGUGUAGAGGUGAAAUUCGUAGAUAUUCGGAGGAACACCAGUGGCGAAGGCGGCUCACUGGACCAUUACUGACGCUGAGGUGCGAAAGCGUGGGGAGCAAACAGGAUUAGAUACCCCAGUAGUCCCUGUCUCUUAUAA